rnacentral:rRNA from 1 species
CAAUAGCGUAUAUUAAGGUUGUUGCAGUUAGAACGCUCGUAGUCGGAUUUCGGGGCGGGCCGACCGGUCUGCCGAUGGGUAUGCACUGGUCGGCGCGUCCUUCCUUCCGGAGACCGUCCCUACUCUUAACUGAGCGGGGGCGGGAGACGGGACUUUUACUUUGAAAAAAUCAGAGUGUUUCAAGCAGGCAGCUCGCUCUUGCAUGGAUUAGCAUGGGAUAAUGAAAUAGGACUUUGGUGCUAUUUUGUUGGUUUCGAACACCGAAGUAAUGAUGAGAAGGGACAGUCAGGGGCACUCGUAUUCCGCCGAGAGAGGUGAAAUUCUCAGACCAGCGGAAGACGAACCACUGCGAAAGCAUUUGCCAGGGAUGUUUUCACUGA